rnacentral:rRNA from 1 species
AACGAACGCUGGCGGCAUGCCUAACACAUGCAAGUCGAACGAGACCUUCGGGUCUAGUGGCGCACGGGUGCGUAACGCGUGGGAACCUGCCUUUAGGUUCGGAAUAACUCAGAGAAAUUUGAGCUAAUACCGGAUGAUGUCUUCGGACCAAAGAUUUAUCGCCUUUAGAUGGGCCCGCGUAAGAUUAGCUAGUUGGUGGGGUAAAGGCCUACCAAGGCGACGAUCUUUAGCUGGUCUGAGAGGAUGAUCAGCCACACUGGAACUGAGACACGGUCCAGACUCCUACGGGAGGCAGCAGUGGGAAUAUUGGACAAU